rnacentral:rRNA from 1 species
GGGUUGUGAGGUUAAGCGACUAAGCGUACACGGUGGAUGCCCUGGCAGUCAGAGGCGAUGAAGGGCGUGCUAAUCUGCGAUAAGCGCCGGUAAGGUGAUAUGAACCGUUAUAACCGGCGAUACCCGAAUGGGGAAACCCAGUGUGAUUCGUCACACUAUCAUUAACUGAAUCCAUAGGUUAAUGAGGCGAACCGGGGGAACUGAAACAUCUAAGUACCCCGAGGAAAAGAAAUCAACCGAGAUUCCCCCAGUAGCGGCGAGCGAACGGGGAGGAGCCCAGAGCCUGAAUCAGCAUGUGUGUUAGUGGAAGCGUCUGGAAAGGCGCGCGAUACAGGGUGACAGCCCCGUACACAAAAGCGCAUGUGCUGUGAGCUCGAUGAGUAGGGCGGGACACGUGGUAUCCUGUCUGAAUAUGGGGGGACCAUCCUCCAAGGCUAAAUACUCCUGACUGACCGAUAGUGAACCAGUACCGUGAGGGAAAGGCGAAAAGAACCCCGGCGAGGGGAGUGAAAAAGAACCUGAAACCGUGUACGUACAAGCAGUGGGAGCACCCUUCGGGGUGUGACUGCGUACCUUUUGUAUAAUGGGUCAGCGACUUAUAUUCUGUAGCAAGGUUAACCGUAUAGGGGAGCCGGAGGGAAACCGAGUCUUAACCGGGCGUUAAGUUGCAGGGUAUAGACCCGAAACCCGGUGAUCUAGCCAUGGGCAGGUUGAAGGUUGGGUAACACUAACUGGAGGACCGAACCGACUAAUGUUGAAAAAUUAGCGGAUGACCUGUGGCUGGGGGUGAAAGGCCAAUCAAACCGGGAGAUAGCUGGUUCUCCCCGAAAGCUAUUUAGGUAGCGCCUCGUGAAUUCAUCUCCGGGGGUAGAGCACUGUUUCGGCUAGGGGGCCAUCCCGGCUUACCAACCCGAUGCAAACUGCGAAUACCGGAGAAUGUUAUCACGGGAGACACACGGCGGGUGCUAACGUCCGUCGUGAAGAGGGAAACAACCCAGACCGCCAGCUAAGGUCCCAAAGUCAUGGUUAAGUGGGAAACGAUGUGGGAAGGCCCAGACAGCCAGGAUGUUGGCUUAGAAGCAGCCAUCAUUUAAAGAAAGCGUAAUAGCUCACUGGUCGAGUCGGCCUGCGCGGAAGAUGUAACGGGGCUAAACCAUGCACCGAAGCUGCGGCAGCGAACGUAUCACCCAAGACAACUUUACGGAGUUGACGAUUGACGGAGCGAAGCGACGUCAAAGCGUUCAUUAAAGUCGAGUUGGCUUAGGGAUACGUUCGUUGGGUAGGGGAGCGUUCUGUAAGCCUGUGAAGGUGUGUCGUGAGGCAUGCUGGAGGUAUCAGAAGUGCGAAUGCUGACAUAAGUAACGAUAAAGCGGGUGAAAAGCCCGCUCGCCGGAAGACCAAGGGUUCCUGUCCAACGUUAAUCGGGGCAGGGUGAGUCGACCCCUAAGGCGAGGCCGAAAGGCGUAGUCGAUGGGAAACGGGUUAAUAUUCCCGUACUUGGUGUUACUGCGAAGGGGGACGGAGAAGGCUAUGUUGGCCGGGCGACGGUUGUCCCGGUUUAAGGGUGUAGGUGUGUGUUCCAGGUAAAUCCGGUUCACUUUAACACUGAGGCGUGACGACGAGGCACUACGGUGCUGAAGCAACAAAUGCCCUGCUUCCAGGAAAAGCCUCUAAGCAUCAGGUAACACGAAAUCGUACCCCAAACCGACACAGGUGGUCAGGUAGAGAAUACCAAGGCGCUUGAGAGAACUCGGGUGAAGGAACUAGGCAAAAUGGUGCCGUAACUUCGGGAGAAGGCACGCUGACACGUAGGUGAAGUGAUUUACUCAUGGAGCUGAAGUCAGUCGAAGAUACCAGCUGGCUGCAACUGUUUAUUAAAAACACAGCACUGUGCAAACACGAAAGUGGACGUAUACGGUGUGACGCCUGCCCGGUGCCGGAAGGUUAAUUGAUGGGGUCAGCGUAAGCGAAGCUCCUGAUCGAAGCCCCGGUAAACGGCGGCCGUAACUAUAACGGUCCUAAGGUAGCGAAAUUCCUUGUCGGGUAAGUUCCGACCUGCACGAAUGGCGUAAUGAUGGCCAGGCUGUCUCCACCCGAGACUCAGUGAAAUUGAACUCGCUGUGAAGAUGCAGUGUACCCGCGGCAAGACGGAAAGACCCCGUGAACCUUUACUAUAGCUUGACACUGAACAUUGAGCCUUGAUGUGUAGGAUAGGUGGGAGGCUUUGAAGUGUGGACGCCAGUCUGCAUGGAGCCGACCUUGAAAUACCACCCUUUAAUGUUUGAUGUUCUAACGUGGACCCGUAAUCCGGGUUGCGGACAGUGUCUGGUGGGUAGUUUGACUGGGGCGGUCUCCUCCUAAAGAGUAACGGAGGAGCACGAAGGUUGGCUAAUCCUGGUCGGACAUCAGGAGGUUAGUGCAAUGGCAUAAGCCAGCUUGACUGCGAGCGUGACGGCGCGAGCAGGUGCGAAAGCAGGUCAUAGUGAUCCGGUGGUUCUGAAUGGAAGGGCCAUCGCUCAACGGAUAAAAGGUACUCCGGGGAUAACAGGCUGAUACCGCCCAAGAGUUCAUAUCGACGGCGGUGUUUGGCACCUCGAUGUCGGCUCAUCACAUCCUGGGGCUGAAGUAGGUCCCAAGGGUAUGGCUGUUCGCCAUUUAAAGUGGUACGCGAGCUGGGUUUAGAACGUCGUGAGACAGUUCGGUCCCUAUCUGCCGUGGGCGCUGGAGAACUGAGGGGGGCUGCUCCUAGUACGAGAGGACCGGAGUGGACGCAUCACUGGUGUUCGGGUUGUCAUGCCAAUGGCACUGCCCGGUAGCUAAAUGCGGAAGAGAUAAGUGCUGAAAGCAUCUAAGCACGAAACUUGCCCCGAGAUGAGUUCUCCCUGAGACUUAGAGUCUCCUGAAGGAACGUUGAAGACGACGACGUUGAUAGGCCGGGUGUGUAAGCGCAGCGAUGCGUUGAGCUAACCGGUACUAAUGAACCGUGAGGCUUAACCUUACAACGCCGAAG